CGCAAGCCUGACGGAGCAACGCCGCGUGAGGGAUGAAGGCCUCUGGGCUGUAAACCUCUUUUCUCAAGGAAGAAGACCUGACGGUACUUGAGGAAUAAGCCACGGCUAAUUCCGUGCCAGCAGCCGCGGUAAUACGGGAGUGGCAAGCGUUAUCCGGAAUUAUUGGGCGUAAAGCGUCCGCAGGCGGCCUUGUAAGUCUGCCGUUAAAGCGUGGAGCUCAACUCCAUUUCAGCGAUGGAAACUACAAGGCUUGAGUGUGGUAGGGGCAGAGGGAAUUCCCGGUGUAGCGGUGAAAUGCGUAGAUAUCGGGAAGAACACCAGUGGCGAAGGCGCUCUGCUGGGCCAUAACUGACGCUCAUGGACGAAAGCCAGGGGAGCG
rnacentral:rRNA from 1 species